AAAAUAUAAAACGCGUGCGCAUAGUACGCUUGAAACUUGUAUAUGAAUAAUACUAUCAUGACAGAAGAACUUUCCGGUGUAACUAUAGUGAUUUUCAUCGCUGUUGGAGUCUUAACGAUAUUAUUGUUGUUUAUAUUCGGAAAACGACAAAUUAUGAGAUUUGCAUUACGAUCACGUCGCGGUCCUCAUAUCCCUAUCGGACACGAUGCACGAAAGUCACUGAAGAAGGAGAUUGAAAGACGAAUAGAAGUAAUACCAAGAAUUCAGUAUGAACCACAGCUUAUUAGUGAUCCAAGGCUUAUUUUAACUUCACGGGGACAGGUUCCACCACAUUAUUAUAGAUUAAAAGCUGUAGAUGAUGUUAAGACCUUAGAAGCUGAAAUUACUAAAUAUGAUAAUUGCUUAAAAAGACAUCCAUCUGAAAAUUUACGAGCAUAUUUACUUGCCGUAUUGGCAACACCAUUGAAUGGAAGUGGCCAAAGAUUAAUUCACCAAUUCUGCGAUUUAUAUGAACAUGCGCGACACGAUCCUACUGAGUUUGGAGAUGAGGAAUAUCAAGUAUAUACUCGUUUAUUUCUUAAAUUAAUGGAUGCAGCUCGUUUAUUGAAAUCAUAUCCUAGCAGUAGAAAAUCUAGUCCAAGUCGUACGCCUAUAAAGAAAAACAUUGAGACGAAACGGAACAUAUUGGAACCCAAAAUGAAACUGCUCGAUGAUCAAACAUUGACUGGAUCACGUCCGAAUACAUUAACAGUGAUGAUGCUGGAUAAUAGUGAAACAUCUGUUUAGCAUUAUGAAAAUCGUCACAUACAGCAUAUGUGACGAAAUAUUUAUUCGUAAUUGUUGAUUUUCACAUUAUAUGGAAUUGCAAUAACAAACACAUUUUGCGAUAGAAAUUAUUUCUAUCCAAUAUACAUAUACAACUUGCGAUUAAAUACCGAUGUCAGUUUUAAUCGAUAAAUAUUUAGUCCAUACAUUUUUAUAAUAUGGAUUAUGUCUUAAGCAAAUCAAUGCUCGAUGAAACGUGUAUUUAUAUGUAUUAGAAAUAUUACUUGUUCUCAUAUAAUUUAACCAUUCCAUUACCUAAAAGAUACAUAAUAUUUUUAAUAGACUGUUAAUUCUGGAGUAACUGUAUAACUUUCAUUGGAAAUAUGUUAAUUUGUUAAAUUAUUACUCACACUAAGUUAGAUUAUUUUGUAAAGAAAUAAAAAUAAUCGUGAAUACCUGUGGAAUUGCAUGUUUCCAAUCCUCUCUAUUGGAAAGAACCAUUAGAGCUUGAGGAAAUAAUUUUGUUCUGACAUUUUGUGAUUUAAUUAUUACAUCUUGUUUCAUUAACAUGGAAUCUAUGCCAGAUAAACUAACAAUAGAGAUAAAUAAAAUAUUACAAUAGAA